rnacentral:rRNA from 1 species
UACGUAGGUGUCAAGCGUUGUCCGGAUUUAUUGGGCGUAAAGCGCCCGCAGGCGGCUUGCCAAGUUCGAUGUGAAAUCUCCCGGCUCAACUGGGAGGGUGCAUCGAAAACUGGCAGGCUUGAGGCAGGGAGAGGGAUGUGGAAUUCCAGGUGUAGUGGUGAAAUGCGUAGAUAUCAGGAGGAACACCGGUGGCGAAGGCGGGUCUCUGGGCCGAAACUGACGCUGAGGAGCGAAAGCGUGGGGAGCAAACAGG